CGCGGGGUGGUGUAGCAGUAACACGUCGGGCUCAUAACCCGAAGUUCGAAGGUGCAAGUCCUUCCCCCGCAA
rfam:Chloroflexi bacterium 13_1_40CM_4_68_4 13_1_40cm_4_scaffold_5468, whole genome shotgun sequence.